GGAAAGGCGCGCGAUACAGGGUGACAGCCCCGUACACAAAAAUGCACAUGCUGUGAGCUCGAUGAGUAGGGCGGGACACGUGGUAUCCUGUCUGAAUAUGGGGGGACCAUCCUCCAAGGCUAAAUACUCCUGACUGACCGAUAGUGAACCAGUACCGUGAGGGAAAGGCGAAAAGAACCCCGGCGAGGGGAGUGAAAAAGAACCUGAAACCGUGUACGUACAAGCAGUGGGAGCACGCUUAGGCGUGUGACUGCGUACCUUUUGUAUAAUGGGUCAGCGACUUAUAUUCUGUAGCAAGGUUAACCGAAUAGGGGAGCCGAAGGGAAACCGAGUCUUAACUGGGCGUUAAGUUGCAGGGUAUAGACCCGAAACCCGGUGAUCUAGCCAUGGGCAGGUUGAAGGUUGGGUAACACUAACUGGAGGACCGAACCGACUAAUGUUGAAAAAUUAGCGGAUGACUUGUGGCUGGGGGUGAAAGGCCAAUCAAACCGGGAGAUAGCUGGUUCUCCCCGAAAGCUAUUUAGGUAGCGCCUCGUGAAUUCAUCUCCGGGGGUAGAGCACUGUUUCGGCAAGGGGGUCAUCCCGACUUACCAACCCGAUGCAAACUGCGAAUACCGGAGAAUGUUAUCACGGGAGACACACGGCGGGUGCUAA
rnacentral:rRNA from 1 species